ACCUAAAGAGGACAGAACAUCAAGGGCAAGUUGAAAGGAUGAAUGUGAUGAAAGCAGGGACAAGAAUAGUGGAAUGCAAAAACAGGAAAUGCAUACUACUAGUACAAUGUCACAGGAUACCCUCUUAAAAGGCACAGCUAUAUACAGUUGCAGAUAACAUUUUAGAGUAUUAUUGGUAGAUAGAAGAUUGCUGAAACACAGGAGAGUGACAUCUAAUAAACUCUCAUAGACUCAAGCAAACUCUGGAAGAUAUGCCAAAAACAAUGUCUUACAGUGUUUAACAUUUUGGAAGAAAAAGAUUGCAACAGAUGAGGUUCAGUUGAGCGUCACCUGACAAAUUCCAUUGGAGAGUUGGAAGAAACCACACGGGCCAUCCAGUCCAGGCGAAGAAACGUGCUUAUCUUUAUCAAACCAACAUUCAUUGCACAAGAUUACAGUCAAGGAGGAACUGAAGCAUCAUAUUACACUAAACACAGACAGAUCAUCAUGGACUAAAUAUAUUUCGCUGUUCCACAGGCACUCAUGGGUGAGUAAAGAAGCCAGAUCCCACUCCAUGAGGAAAGCUACCCAAAUAACCCCAUGCUACACGUUCAGAACAAAGAGUCCUGGCAAUAUAAAUCCAAAACCAUGAGGAAAUUGCUUUGUGUUCCCUAAGCAACAAUUCAUCUCCUGGAUUUCCCCUGAGGAAUUAAAUUCCAUCUGCUUACGCUGAAGCUAGUUUAUGUAUGGUUAAAUCUAUGUAAUGAAAAGCGGAAUUUGGCAUA